rnacentral:misc_RNA from 1 species
ACGAAAUCGACGUGCAACGACGAAGGGAGAUAGCACGAGCGCACCGUAGUAAAAGGGACAGUCUUCACGCCCCCGUCUGCCGGGGCAAAAAACAACGAUCAGACUGCGCAGCGGACGGUGUUAUGAGCUGUUUUCCUAACCGAUGGGAGACAGGUGGCGGCGAAAGUGGACUUUAACAAAUGGUCACUGCUAGCUAGCAUGAGACGUGCCUACUUGAGAUGCGGCACCAGGAUCUAUGCCUCCCAUUUCUCAUCGGCGCACUGCGGGCAAACAAUAC